UACGGAGGGAGCUAGCGUUGUUCGGAUAUACUGGGCGUAAAGCGCACGUAGCGGCGCCGUAAGUCAGGGGUGAAAUCCCGGAGCUCAACUCCGGAACUGCCCUUGAAACUGCAGUGCUAGAAUCUUGGAGAGGCGAGUGGAAUUCCGAGUGUAGAGGUGAAAUUCGUAGAUAUCGGGAGGAACCCACGAGGCGAAGGCGGCGCUCCUGGCCCAUUUCUGACGUUCAGACAUGACAGCAUGGGGAGCGAACGGG
rnacentral:rRNA from 1 species